CUAGAUGGUUUAUCUGGGUCCUCUAUCUUGACUGCAUAACCUCGGAAGCCUUCAGUCUAAAGCUUGAGCAGUUCCACGGCUCAUCUGUUAUUCACCCCAUGAUUUCUCUUCACUGUUGUUAGUGAACUGUUGAUUCUAACAAAUUGCUCUUAUUGACUGAAGUAGAUAAUCAACAAAUGACCAGGAUGCCUUGAAUCUUCUACCAGAAGCAAACCAUAAGAGGAAAAGAACAAGUGGGUAGCAGAUACCUGAGGAAAAUGGACGUGGACCCUUCCAGAGAGGAAAGUCUGACCUGAUGACACCUGGGUCUCAUACUAUCAAAUCAAAGGGCUUUAUGGUCUUCUAAGCAUUUUGUGGUGAAACAUGGAGCCGACCAACACAAGCGCCCCGUUGAAUGCUUCAAACUUAGACGUCGGCCACUGCAACGCACACUGCAGGAUGAUUCUGACCACACUCUACAGUGUGGUUUUUCUUGGAGGCACUGCUGGAGCAGUUAUGAUGUCACGUAUGAUGUUGAAAAGGAAUACCCAGUCAAUGAUUGCCACGAUCGUUCUCAAUAUCAUAGUGCUACAUUCGAUCCUCCUGGUCAGCCUUCCGUUCCGCCUCAGCUAUUAUGUCUUAGUCACCUGGGAGUUUGGAUACUUUACCUGCCGAUUGGUUAGUAGCAUAAUAUACUGUCAUAUGUACCUCACCUUUGUUUUCUAUGUGGCCAUUGUCAUAUUCCGAUUGCUCAUCUAUUUUAAGAAACUCCAACUGCAACAGUUAAAAAAGUACCAUGCGGUAGUUUUAAGCAUUAUUAUUUGGAUAGUGGGUAGCCUUAUUUUUUUGCCAAUAUUUCUUUUACUAUAUGGCACAAGUUCAAGUUACUCAGAACAGCAACGAUGCUUUGAGUUCUACAAAGACUUCAACCACAGGGAAUUCAUCAUCUUGAAUUACUCUAUGAUUGCCAUUAUGAUGACAGUGGUGGUGACCCUCUUUCUGAUACAGAUGGGUGUCAUUGUUCAACUCAUAAAGGUUCUUUGGCCUGACCUGUGGGCUCAUCAAGAGUAUAGAGCUCAAAUCAAGAGCUGCUUCUUCCUUCUAGUAAUAGUCGUCUGUUUUAUACCCCACCAUGCAUUCCGGGUACACUUUCUUCAGAAUUAUUCAGAGGGAGAAAAUUCUGAGUUAGUUCUUUAUAAUGAAAUUUUUGUGGCUUUAACUACUGUCUGUUGCCUGGAUAUGCUGUGUUUCGUAGGUGGAGUUAUCCAUUAAAUACUCCUAUGUCAUUUACUUUGUAAUUUGUUUCCCAUCACGGUGACAAAAUAGUUUUAAUUGAAUGGGUGCUGCUAGCACGAUUUCAAAAUUUUUCAAGUUCUCUGCUUUUAAUCAUCACCAAAAUUAUUUUUCCAUGAAAAAGGAAUAAAUGUUGGUUGUUUCCUUCUCCUCAGAGAACUGUUAUCUGUUCGCCCUUAACCAUAGAAUGUAUUCAAUCUCCUUAGCGCCACGCAAGUUGACCUCAAACAUCCCUUACAGACUCAACUCCUACCUCUUUUGCCUGCAAUAUUUACUUCUGCUAAGCACACCUAUUGGCUUUCCCUAUGCACUACUCUCCAGGCUGUUCUACUCUUUGCAUUUGCUGCCACUGACUUUUGAUCUUAGAAUGUUCUUUCCCUCCAUCUCUAAGCUAUCUAUUCUUCAAGGUCCAGAGAACCUGAAGGUGGGAACUCUAUCGAAGCUUUAACUUACUCAACUUAUAAUCAACAUGAGAUAGCUGCCUCUUGAAAAUUACUGAUAGCUAGUCAUGCUGUAGCUGCUGGCUGUGGUAUCUGGAGGAAGAGAUUCACUCAGAUAGUCAAGAGACUUAGAAGAAACCCUUUCAGGUUGAUGGGGCGUUGAUGUGGUUUGAUUCUGAUUAAAGUGUUAGUAGGUACUCAGGAAGCUCAGAUGAUCUCCCACAUCUACCUUCCCAGACUUGGAUCCAUUAAGCAGAAAAAGAAAUUGGAAAAGGUGGAAGGCAGCUGGAGUUGGCUAAGCAUGCUGGCAGGCUGUAUUAGAGCCCAAACCUUUGAGAUUUGGGACUUUUAUUAAGCUUUUUCAAGACACCCAAUAUGAUCAAGUAGUGUCACAGUUAAAAUCAACACUAUCAGCUAAUGAGUGUCAUUUAAACUCAAUGAAAACAACCAUGACAACCAACCAAUCUGGUAUAGAAAUUGACAUGCACUUAAACCUUGCUCAUAAUAAUGCUACCUUGGAGACUAAAUUUAAUGAAUCAAAUAACCAAAACAUUGCUCUUACUGGUUCAUAAGGCAGCAGAGUUUAUGCAAAGGACUUUUGAAGUCAUCUGGAGAUCUGAAUUCAAAACUGUUUAGUAACUAUGGAAUCUUUGGUGAGGUAUUUGUAAUCUCUGAGCUCCAGUUUCCUAUAUUACAGGAUUUUGGUAAAGCUGAAAUAAGAUAACAGCCUGUGUUAAAUAGUGGCAUAAUGCCUGGCAUGUGGUAUUCAGAAUAAUAUUACUUCUUUUCCUAAUUCAGUGACACAUUUUGCAAGAAAAUUUUAAUACAUGACCAAAAUGUUCAUCCAUAUAGAAAUAUAUUUUAGAGGUUCAGAUGCUAUUGAUCAAUGUUGAUCUCAUGCUUUAUGUCACUAUGAAAUCAAUGACUAAAUGGAUGCUUUUUCCUAUUUUUGCCUAUAAGAACUUGCCAUUAUUAUUAUUACUAUAAUUAUUAGUUAUACCCCAAAAUACUCUAGUAGUACCAUUUUACAAUCCUGCCGUCACAGUACAAGAUGAUUUGUAAGCACUGUUUUAGGGUUCAUGGUAUGUCUUGAGUAGUAGUCACCUCAAGAUUGAUUGUGAUUACUUAUAGUCAGGAUAUAGUCAGUACCCAACUUACUAAUCAUAGGGUUGCAUGAGCUGGUUUUUAAUAUGGUAGACAGCCUCUAAGAAGGCCUCCAAAGAUCCCUGCCUCCUAAUAUCCAUGCCCCUGUGUAAUCUCUCCUAUAUUGGCUAUUGACUUCUUAAGAACAGAACAAGGCAGAAUGAUGGGGUAUCACCCCCAUUGUUAGAUUAUGAAAAGACUAUGCCACCCAUAUUGGGUACUCUCUUUUUCUUGUUCUCUCUUGGAUUGCUUCACUCUGGAGUAAACCAGCAGCCGUGUCAUGAGGCAGCGCACGUGCCAAAGAAUUUUGAGACCAUCUAACAGCCAUAUGAGUGAGCUUAGAAGUGGAUCUUCUGACACCAGCCAGUCGCCGUGGAAUAAGCUUGGAAGCAGUUCCAUUUGAGUCUUGAGAUGAUUGCAAUGCUGGCUGACCUUGACUGCAGCCUCAUGAGAGACCCUGAGCCAGAACCACUCAGCUAACCUGCUCCUAGAUUCCUGACCUGAAACUGUGCUCAUAGCACAUCCUAAUUCUGAGUAGCCACAUUUCAGUAGCCACACAUGGUUCAUGGUUAAAGUAUUGGACAGCACAGGUCCAAAUUAUCCAGAGAUCAUCUAGGGUUGUACCCCAGGACCCUUUCCUUACAAGAGAUGGCCAUGUAUCUCUCUGACAUUCAGUUUCCUCCUACGUGGAAUAGUAACAAUAGAACCUACUUUAGAGAGUUGAGAUGAAAAUACACGGUAUUGUAUAAGGUGCAAAUAUCAGUCCCCAGCAUGUGGCAAAUGUUCGAUAAAUGGAAUGUUAUUAUUUUUACUGUCCUUGUUGUAUAUAUUGGAAAGAGAAGGACAAGGACAGACAACUCUGUAAUCAGAUGCCCUGCAAUGUUUCUGGGACGCUUUAGCUUGGACAUUCUCAACAGAGACCCAUUCUUCCUUCCUGCUGACACCCUCCUUCUUGUCUCUCCAUCCCACAGCCAUCCCUGAUCUCAGCUGGCAGUGGGCCUCUGUGUUACCAGUGCUUAUCUGACUUAAAUGGUCCUUCCUUGGGGAAGUGCUCAGAUCCUGUGUCCCAGAGGACUCCUUCCUUUAAUCUUAUUUGACCCAAUCUGUGUUACUUCACCACGAGGUGUUCUCACCUAAGUGUGUAGUUGGUUUCCAGGUAUCCAUACAAAUUACUCAAAAUAAAACAAAUACAUUAAACAUG